GUGGGGAUAUUGCACAAUGGGCGCAAGCCUGAUGCAGCCAUGCCGCGUGUGUGAAGAAGGCCUUCGGGUUGUAAAGCACUUUCAGUCAGGAGGAAAGGUUAGUAGUUAAUACCUGCUAGCUGUGACGUUACUGACAGAAGAAGCACCGGCUAACUCCGUGCCAGCAGCCGCGGUAAUACGGAGGGUGCGAGCGUUAAUCGGAAUUACUGGGCGUAAAGCGUACGCAGGCGGUUUGUUAAGCGAGAUGUGAAAGCCCCGGGCUCAACCUGGGAACUGCAUUUCGAACUGGCAAACUAGAGUGUGAUAGAGGGUGGUAGAAUUUCAGGUGUAGCGGUGAAAUGCGUAGAGAUCUGAAGGAAUACCGAUGGCGAAGGCAGCCACCUGGGUCAACACUGACGCUCAUGUACGAAAGCGUGGGGAGCAAACGGGAUUAGAUACCCCGGUAGUCCACGCCGUAAACGAUGUCUACUAGAAGCUCGGAGCCUCGGUUCUGUUUUUCAAAGCUAACGCAUUAAGUAGACCGCCUGGGGAGUACGGCCGCAAGGUUAAAACUCAAAUGAAUUGACGGGGGCCCCGCAC
rnacentral:rRNA from 1 species